rnacentral:rRNA from 1 species
GAUGAACGCUGGCGGCGUGCCUAACACAUGCAAGUCGAGCGAAGCGAUUUAGCGGAAGUUUUCGGAUGGAAGUUAAAUUGACUGAGCGGCGGACGGGUGAGUAACGCGUGGGUAACCUGCCUCAUACAGGGGGAUAACAGUUAGAAAUGACUGCUAAUACCGCAUAUGCCUAAAGUAUCGCAUGAUACAAUAGGGAAAGGAGUAAUCCGCUGAUAGAUGGGCUUGCGUCUGAUUAGAUAGUCGGUGGGGUAAUGGCCUACCAAGUCAACGAUCAGUAGCCGGACUGAGAGGUUGAACGGCCACAUUGGGACUGAGAUACGGCCCAG